UACGUAGGGUGCGAGCGUUAAUCGGAAUUACUGGGCGUAAAGCGUGCGCAGGCGGUUUUGUAAGCCAGAUGUGAAAUCCCCGGGCUUAACCUGGGAAUGGCAUUUGGGACUGCAAGGCUUGAGUGCGGCAGAGGAGACUGGAAUUCCUGGUGUAGCAGUGAAAUGCGUAGAUAUCAGGAGGAACACCGAUGGCGAAGGCAGGUCUCUGGGCUGACACUGACGCUCAGCAC
rnacentral:rRNA from 1 species